GACGAACGCUGGCGGCGUGCUUAACACAUGCAAGUCGAACGCUGAAGCUUGGUGCUUGCUCUGGGUGGAUGAGUGGCGAACGGGUGAGUAAUAAGUGAGUAACCUGCCCUUGACUCUGGGAUAAGCCUGGGAAACUGGGUCUAAUACUGGAUACGACAUGUCACCGCAUGGUGGUGUGUGGAAAGGGUUUUACUGGUUUUGGAUGGGCUCACGGCCUAUCAGCUUGUUGGUGGGGUAAUGGCUCACCAAGGCGACGACGGGUAGCCGGCCUGAGAGGGUGACCGGACACACUGGGACUGAGACACGGCCCAGACUCCUACGGGAGGCAGCAGUGGGGAAUAUUGCACAAUGGGCGGAAGCCUGAUGCAGCGACGCCGCGUGAGGGAUGACGGCCUUCGGGUUGUAACCCUCUUUCAGCACGGAAGAAGCGAAAGUGACGGUACGUGCAGAAGAAGCGCCGGCUAACUACGUG
rnacentral:rRNA from 1 species